CCUACGGGAGGCAGCAGUGGGGAAUAUUGGACAAUGGGCGAAAGCCUGAUCCAGCAAUGCCGCGUGAGUGAAGAAGGCCUUCGGGUUGUAAAGCUCUUUUACCCGGGAAGAUAAUGACCGUACCGGGAGAAUAAGCCCCGGCUAACUCCGUGCCAGCAGCCGCGGUAAUACGGAGGGGGCUAGCGUUGUUCGGAAUCACUGGGCGUAAAGCGUGCGUAGGCGGCCAUUCAAGUCAGAGGUGAAAGCCCAGGGCUCAACCCUGGAACUGCCUUUGAAACUAGGUGGCUGGAACACGGGAGAGGUGAGUGGAAUUCCGAGUGUAGAGGUGAAAUUCGUAGAUAUUCGGAAGAACACCAGUGGCGAAGGCGGCUCACUGGACCGUUGUUGACGCUGAGGCACGAAAGCGUGGGGAGCAAACAGGAUUAGAUACCCUGGUAGUCCACGCCGUAAACGAUGAUAACUAGCUGUUGGGGCUCUUUGAGCUCCAGUGGCGCAGCUACGCAUUAAGUUAUCCGUCCGUCGGGUAGGUACGGCCGGCCGAACGGUUAAAACGUAACGAAACGGAAAGUUAGACGGCGUGUAAGGUACGUGUUCCGAACGGACGACGACGAGGGAGGAGG
rnacentral:rRNA from 1 species